ensembl:lncRNA
CAUCUUCAUCAGCAUUGUGCCUCCUCCUCCUCUCCCCUGCUUUUCCUCUUCGGUCCUGCUGCUGCAGGGAACCUGUUAAAGCUUUUUUUUCCACUCUAAUUGCCUCAGUUGCUGCUAUUUUGGGAUCUGUAUUUAUCUCCCCUCUCGUUCUCUCUCUGGCUCUGGCUCUCUCUUUGCCACUGAUUCAUAUAACCUCCUGCUGCAAACCAAAAAGAGGGAAAAAAGGCGACAUCAGCGCUGUCACCUCGCUGGAUUAUAUCGUCCAACCAGAGAGACAGCCGCUGCCUGAGCAGAUGCAGCAGGAGACGCCUCGCGGCGGCUCUGUUUUCCUUCUGUUUCUGAGCAGGGAUGGAUCAUUGGUGCGUGUUUUUGUGAAGGACUUGUUGCAGCUUAGAGGACUGAAGGAAGGAAAACCAGCACUUUGUUCUUGCACGAUGAGGACGGCUGCUGCUGCUGCUGCUGGCGUCCUCAUCCGUCUGCUGUUGAUUUUACACCGUGGCAGAGCCCAGGACUCUGGUGAUGACUCCAUGCACUCCCCCCACAGCCUUCCGCUCAGCCCUCAGCCCCUCUUCAGCUUCUUGCUGCUCGGCCUCACCGUCACCCUGUCCGGCGGCGUGUACCUGUGGAUUCUCAGAUACGUGUGCAUCGGCUGCUGCCAGCCCGUCGCCGUCGGCACUGAGUCAGACGCUCUGGAUGAGGUGGUGUGAAGCCUCUGUAUGAACGAGCCGCAGCAGUUUACACAUGCCGGUGAACAUGUCACAGAGGAUAUUGUUCCGUGCACGGGGUAAAAAUUGCUUUCUUCACACCUGUGAAUUGGUUCUGUUUACCCGGGGGGCUGAAAGGGCGACGUGCCCGACAUGAUGUGUGGACGACAUGAUGGACAGAAUGUUUAUAUGAGCUGCUAUUACAGAUAAUUAUAUGCACAAAGGUACAAAUUAGGUCUCGUUACCAACUUCUCCUAAUGCUCUUCAGGCCUUUUAGUUGAAAAUAUAUUCACUUAAUAUGUUUUUAUCUGUUUGGGUUCAGCUGGGUUCAGAUUAAUAUCGGGCUCAGCUGCUGCUAAUGAUCCACUAAUGUCUGCACCGACUGAGGCUGGAACCAAAGCUACAGACCACAUUUUAUUCAGUUAUUAGCAGGUGGUGGAAAGUAACUAAGUAUUUGUACUUUGUUACUGUACUUAAGUACAUUUUUUAUGUAUUUCUACUUUAUUUAAGUAAAAAUAACAUUGCAUACUUUAUACUUUGACUCCAUGUAGCAGCUGUUACCUGUACUUUCUCCUCCACUACAUUUCUACAGUGUCUGUAGUUCCUUGUUCCAUGUGAUGAACACAGUGCUGGACUGAUGAGAGGUCAGACUCUGCAUGGAGGUGGUGUCACGCUGCCAGCUGUGUUUCUAUAAUGAGCCUCAGUCAUGAUGCCGGUGCUCUGGCUCAGUGAGCUAACUAGUUAGCUGCUGUCUGCUAACACAGGUCCAUCCAUUAAUGUCUGAUUAACAUGAAUCAUCACAUGAAUCUACAGCAGGAACACUGACACAGUAAACAUGCUGAAUGCCUGUUUGUUAUCAGCAGCCUCUCUGUUCACUUGAUGCCCACAGCCUGCCUCAUGACACACAGACCUGUCCAUAGCUGCUUCUGGACUGAACAUGGACAUUAACUACACAUGGUCCAUUUUCAUUUGAGAUGAUUUCUUUGAUUAUUUUAACCUGUUCAGAUCCUUUGCAAUGGAAAUCAAUAAUAUAUAUUCAGUGUGUGAGUACUUUUACUUUGAAUACUUUAAGUACAUUUUAAAAGUACUUAGGACUUUUACUUAAGUAGGAUUGUUGAUGUAGCACUUCUACUUUUACUUAAGUACCGAGCUUCAUACUUCCUCCACCACUGGUUAUUUAGUUUAAUUUGUGCUUUUCAUUCAUGGUCUGUUUUAUGUGUUCAAAAAAGUGGAAAAAUCUUGUUGUAAUAAAUCAAUGAUUGUUGAUGUGUCA